rnacentral:pre_miRNA from 1 species
GCAUGUUCGCUGCUCAGGUACUUAGUGACUCUCAAUUGCCUUUGUGCUUUGCAUAUCUUGAGGGUCGCUCUGUGCCUGUGCUGCGCUUGC